rnacentral:rRNA from 1 species
CUAAUGCAUGUGUAGUAUAAAUAGUUAACUUUGAAACUGCGAAUGGCUCAUUAUAUCAGUUAUAGUUUAUUUGAUGAAGAAUACUAAUUGGAUAACCGUAGUAAUUCUAGAGCUAAUACAUGUAUAAAGUCUUGUAGACUGCAUUUAUUAGAAUGAAAACCAUAGGUUUCGGCCUAUUCGUGAGUAAUAAUAACUAAUCAUAUCGUAUGCUUAAGUAACGAUGUGUCUUUCAAGUUUCUGCCCUAUCAGCUUUCGAUGGUAGUGUAUUGGACUACCAUGGCAGUAACGGGUAACGAAGAAA